GCCUUCAUAGCUCAGUUGGUUUGAGCGUCGCAUCGGCUUCACGAGGUCACGGGUUUAAAUCCCGUUGAAGUCC
rnacentral:tRNA from 1 species